AAACAAUGGUGGGGGCAUUAUAAUAAUAAUCUUUAAUCUUUCUCAAUAAUCAUAAAAUUCUUCGUUAUCUUUUUGAUAAAAUUUGGAGAUUUCUCUUCUUAAAUU